rnacentral:tRNA from 1 species
ACUUUUAAAGGAUAACAGUCAAUCCAUUGGUCUUAGGAG